rnacentral:rRNA from 1 species
AGAGUUUGAUCAUGGCUCAGGAUGAACGCUGGCGGUCUGCUUAACACAUGCAAGUCGAACGGGCUUUUCGGAGCUAGUGGCGGACGGGUGAGUAACGCGUGAGAAUCUGCCCUCAGGACGGGGACAACAGUUGGAAACGACUGCUAAUACCCGAUGUGCCGAGAGGUGAAAUGUAAUUCGCCUGAGGAUGAGCUCGCGUCAGAUUAGCUAGUUGGUGAGGUAAAGGCUCACCAAGGCGACGAUCUGUAGCUGGUCUGAGAGGAUGAUCAGCCACACUGGGACUGAGACACGGCCCAGACUCCUACGGGAGGCAGCAGUGGGGAAUUUUCCGCAAUGGGCGAAAGCCUGACGGAGCAAGACCGCGUGCGGGAUGAAGGUCUGUGGAUUGUAAACCGCUUUUCUCUGGGAAGAACACAAUGACGGUACCAGAGGAAUAAGCCUCGGCUAACUCCGUGCCAGCCGCCGCGGUAAUUC